GAUCAAGCGAUCAAGGGCGCAUGGUGGAUGUCUUGGCGUUGGGAGGCGAUGAAGGACGUGGUAACCUGCGAUAAGCCUGGGGAAGCUGGUAAACGAGCUCCGAUCCCAGGAUCUCCGAAUGGGGCAACCCGGCCCGUAUGGGUCACUCUUGUCUGAAUGCAUAGGGCAAGAGAGCAAACCCGGGGAACUGAAACAUCUCAGUAC
rnacentral:rRNA from 1 species